rnacentral:tRNA from 2 species
GCCUGGGUGGCUCAGUUGGUUGAGCAUCUGACUUCGGUUCAGGUCAUGAUCUCACAGCUCGUGGGUUCGAGCCCCACGUCAGGCU